ACAAUGAAUGAUUGUCUUUCUUAUUCUAAACUCUAUUUUGCCAGGAAUUGAGCUAUUCUACCUUUAUUUUGUUUCUGAUUACAUCCAAUUUCCUCUGUCUGAAGAACCGCCUGAAACAUUUCUCACAGAGAACGUGGUCCCAAUCCGGACCCCAGAGAAAGAUCUUGGAUCUCAUGCAAGACAGAAUUCAGGAGCAUCCAGCUCCCAUGCAGCUGCCUGGAGAGGCUCACAUCAAAAAGGGGAGGCCCUACAUCAGUAG
rnacentral:lncRNA from 1 species